GCCUUCGUGGUGUAGUAGUCAGCACGCUGAGCUUCGUGGUGUAGUGGGCGCGUAUUCCAGAGGUCCGUGGUUCGAGUCCCAGCGAAGACG
rnacentral:tRNA from 1 species